UCACUUUCUGCUUAACCCAUGUUAGGUUUAAGUGAGCCUGAGAGCUGAGCAAAUUGAAACCGAAUCGAGUUAUAAAAGGUAAAAUUGGUCCAACGAUAACAAUACUUUCCUAACCGUUAAACAAUUAUUACUAUAUUAUUAUAAACCAUUUUGGUCAUUACAGCUUUGAUUAACCUGUAAAAUCAGCAACCCAUGAUAUAACUGACAGGAGCAGGGUUACUUUGGUCUUGACUUGGUUAAACGCUUAAUUGUUGUCACUAAUUAUUGGUCAUUCUUUUCUUCUCCUCACUUCUCUACUGGUGAGGCCAAUCGAAAUUUGUUCAAAUCAUUUUGCAGCCAGUCCAGGUUAAGAAUAAAAGUAACCAAAAUAACUGGAAGAAUGAAACCCAAAAAAAUAAUGGCCAAAAUGAGUGAGAGCGUUUCCAACCGAAUGCUGACCCAUCCUUCCUCAAUGUAAUUGUCCAAUUAAAAUUAUACCAAGAUUUUUAUAUAUAAACAAAUAGACAACAGGUGAGACGAUUUUUCCACUUCGAGAUUUCAACUCGCCAGCUUGAGUUGUUCAUAAGCAACAUUUUAAGUGCGAAUAACCUUUUAAAACAGUUUUCCUGAAUCCAUUUCACGAUGCGUUUCUUGUUGAGGUUACUAGCAAUUUUUGCUGUCAUCUCGUCUAUUGCAGCAACAUCGGGUUGGGGUUGGUAUCCUUGGCUUUAUCCUGGACAUUAUCCAUAUUAUUUUGGUAAAUAAAAUUCUAGCUGUUAAAUUUCUUGAGUCAUGGUUCCAAUAAUUAGUGUUGAUAAAACAUUUUCUUGCUCUUUUGUGCGCCAUGUUAGGUUAUCCUCAUUAUUAUGGUGGCAGCUAUGGAACAGGUUACGGCAUUUGGGGUGGAUAUGUUGGUUGAUGGUGAUCAAAUCGAUGACAAUCAAAUGGAUCGUGAUUAAUUUUUUGGAAAAA